AUAUAUAUAUAUAUAUGUAUAUAAUUUAUAUAUAUAUUAUAUAUAUAUAAUUAAAGUCAAUUACAAGCACAUCCCAAAGUCAAUAUCGAAUAUCAUAAAUUAUUUUAUAUUCGAUAUAAAAUAAUGAUACAAAAAUUUAUCAGACAAUAAUUAGAAUUUAAGAUAAAUAUUAAAAAUAUUUACAAAUUAUAAAAAAAUCAAAAAUACAGAUAUAUAAUUAAAUAAAAAGUAACAGACUAACAAGUGCAAACUUUCCAAUUUUUAUGUACUUCUUGUAUAAAUAAGGUCCAUAUUAUAUCAUAUAUAUUAAAAAUAAACAUUAUAGUCAUUAUAUUAUUUAUUUAUAUUAAAAAGUUACGUAAAAAUAUGCAUAAUCAAAAUUGGAAUAUAUACAUUGUUAAAUAAUUAUAUUAUAAAUCUUAGAAUUUGAAUGUUUUUAAUUUUCUUGCAUAAUUAACUAUUAUGAUGUUAAAAAAAAUUAAUAACGUUUUAAACAUAAAAAAAAACAUUUAAAUUUACUUUAAAAAAAAACAUUUCAAAAACUACUAUAACCAAAUUUAAUUAUUAUUAUAAAACAAAAUUUAAAAAAAAAAAGUAUUGUUAAAAAAUUGGUAUAUUUACUUAUUAAAACAGGUAUGUAUAAACAUAAUGUAAGAAAUUUAAAUUUUUAACAAAAUUGUUAUGAUACAUAAAUAUCAAUACAUAUUUUUAUUUUAAAUGAAAUGUUUAAAUGAAACGCUUAAAUUGUGUCAAUGCGAUAUAAUGUUAUUAAAUGUUAUGAAAAACAAAAAUUAUUUCAAAUUGGAAAAUUAAUAUAAAAAUGCUAUUGUGAAAAUUUGUUCAAAAAAUAUUUUAAUUGAAAAGUUACCUAUGUAUGUAUAUAGACUUAUAUUUAAGCAUAUACAUAUAUAUUUAUAAAAAUAAUAAAAGAUUAUUGAUUCUGUGGUAUGUUUUCGUCUGAAAUUUUAUUUUAACUUUAUUUCUUCAAAUAAACAUGUAUAUGUACUCAAUUUCUGAAGGGAGUUAAGUAAGAAUUCAUAACAUCAAAACAAAUCUCAGUGGCAAACAUUUUUAUAAUUUCAAAUCAUGCACAAUUGGAUAAAUAUUUUACAGCUACCAAAAUGUUGAAAAUGUUGAAAGUAUGCAGACUGGUGACAUAAAGGAGGAAUAAUCUUAUAAUUUUUCUUUUUUACUAAUUUUUAAAAUAUAUAAAUAAAAGGUUAAAAAAGAUUAAA